GGCAGAAGGAAAGGCUGGCUAUACUCAGAGAACUUCAGGAGGACUUUGGCACACACCAAACUCUACAGGAAACUGCAGCUCGAAGGCCCAUGGCUCUACUGUCACUGACAGUCCCACAUGGAUGGCGCAGCCCUAGAUGGCAGUCAAGGAAGCCAAGGAUAGGAGAAAUUGAGCCACCCUUACCAUGACUUAAUAUGUAAAGCAAAGAAUGAAACCAAUCCACUCUCCUUCAGAUCAUGGUGAAAUUUGGUAAUUAAACUUAAUUUAUAUAAAGAAUUCAACCUCUAGA